AAACUGGGAUCACGGCAGAGGACCCCGAUAAGAUGACUGGGAAUUCUCCUCCAACUUGGAAGGCUCCUGGGUCAACGUUUGCAGGAAUUUAAAAGAAAAAUCCUACGGAGUCUGUGUAGAAAUUUACAGCCCAGCAUGA